rnacentral:tRNA from 1 species
GGAGAAGUGACCGAAUGGUAAGGAGCACGCCUGGAAAGUGUGUAAGGUGUAACAGCCCUGCGGGUUCAAAUCCCGUCUUCUCCUCCA